CCCUUAGAUGUUCUGGGCUGCACACGUGCUACACUGGCAGGUUCAGCGAGCUUCAUGCCCUGAUCUGAAAGGAAUGGGAAAUCUUUUCAAAACCUGCCGUGCUCGGGAUAGAUGUUUGCAAUUCUUCAUCUUCAACGAGGAAUGCCUAGUAAACGCAAGUCAUCAGCUUGCAUUGAUUACGUCCCUGCCCUUUGUACACACCGCCCGUCGCUCCUACCGAUUGAAUGAUCCGAUGAAUACCAUGGAUUGAGAGUACGAAUAGGUUCGCUUAUUUCUGCUUCUCGAGAAGUGGAGUAAAUCUUAUCAUUUAGAGGAAGGAGAAGUCGUAACA
rnacentral:rRNA from 1 species